UCCCAAAGUCAUGGUUAAGUGGGAAACGAUGUGGGAAGGCACAGACAGCCAGGAUGUUGGCUUAGAAGCAGCCAUCAUUUAAAGAAAGCGUAAUAGCUCACUGGUCGAGUCGGCCUGCGCGGAAGAUGUAACGGGGCUAAACCAUGCACCGAAGCUGCGGCAGCGACACUAUGUGUUGUUGGGUAGGGGAGCGUUCUGUAAGCCUGCGAAGGUGACCUGUGAGGGUUGCUGGAGGUAUCAGAAGUGCGAAUGCUGACAUAAGUAACGAUAAAGCGGGUGAAAAGCCCGCUCGCCGGAAGACCAAGGGUUCCUGUCCAACGUUAAUCGGGGCAGGGUGAGUCGACCCCUAAGGCGAGGCCGAAAGGCGUAGUCGAUGGGAAACAGGUUAAUAUUCCUGUACUUGGUGUUACUGCGAAGGGGGGACGGAGAAGGCUAUGUUAGCCGGGCGACGGUUGUCCCGGUUUAAGCAUGUAGGCUGGUUAUCCAGGCAAAUCCGGAUAACCAAGGCUGAGGUGUGAUGACGAGGCACUACGGUGCUGAAGUAACAAAUGCCCUGCUUCCAGGAAAAGCCUCUAAGCAUCAGGUAACAUCAAAUCGUACCCCAAACCGACACAGGUGGUCAGGUAGAGAAUACCAAGGCGCUUGAGAGAACUCGGGUGAAGGAACUAGGCAAAAUGGUGCCGUAACUUCGGGAGAAGGCACGCUGGUGUGUAGGUGAAGUCCCUGCGGAUGGAGCUGAGACCAGUCGAAGAUACCAGCUGGCUGCAACUGUUUAUUAAAAACACAGCACUGUGCAAACACGAAAGUGGACGUAUACGGUGUGA
rnacentral:rRNA from 1 species